AUUGAACGCUGGCGGCAGGCCUAACACAUGCAAGUCGAGCGGAUGAAGAGAGCUUGCUCUCUGAUUCAGCGGCGGACGGGUGAGUAAUGCCUAGGAAUCUGCCUGGUAGUGGGGGACAACGUCUCGAAAGGGACGCUAAUACCGCAUACGUCCUACGGGAGAAAGCAGGGGACCUUCGGGCCUUGCGCUAUCAGAUGAGCCUAGGUCGGAUUAGCUAGUUGGUGGGGUAACGGCUCACCAAGGCGACGAUCCGUAACUGGUCUGAGAGGAUGGUCAGUCACACUGGAACUGAGACACGGACCAGACUCCUACGGGGGGCAGCAGUGGGGAAUAUUGGACAAUGGGCGAAAGCCUGAUCCAGCCACGGCGCGUGUGUGAAGAAGGGCUUCGGAUUGUAAAGCACUUUAAGUUGGGAGGAAGGGCAGGAAAUUAAUACUUUGCUGUUUUGACGUUACCGACAGAAUAAGCACCGGCUAACUCUGUGCCAGCCGCCGCGGUAA
rnacentral:rRNA from 1 species